CAGCUCCCAGGCUUGGUGAAUUGAUGGGAGAGCACCACCGGAGCGCGAGGGGAGGCGCAUCAGGCACGCGGCUCACCCAACUCCCACAGCUCAGGCUCACUAUAUUCAGCGGCUCCGGUGCGCUCGAGACUUUAUUCACUCCAGAGUCCAACACAGAGACGGACCUGUCGAGCUCUCUAUUCCACACUGCAAGCUAAGCACUCACUGGAUAGAACACACGGACAACUUUUUAUAGAGCUAUUUCCGCUGCUCUAUUUUUGGUUUUCAUUACGGGACUUAAACCUGGGAUUGUACUAUUUUAAAAAGACGCACUUUUUGUUGUUGAAAAAUGUCAUGGUCUUUCAUGUUCAUCGUUUAAAUAAUAAUAUUUGGGUAUAGAACUCGAAAUAUUUGAGAACAAGGGAAACUGUUACACAUGUUUUCCAACCUCUGAAGAAGACUUAACAAGUUAUUCGUUCUUGGGGGGUCGAUAACAAGUGCAAUGAUUGUCAAGGUCUUCUGUUGGGAUUGCCUUACUGCUCAACUGGUCUAAGGAGCCAGCCAUGCACUUUUGUCUGCUCUACUUCUGUCACGGAGAGAGGGCUCGGAGUGGCGGACGCGCACGAAUGUGAAUUACAUUGCAGUCAACUACUCUACUUCAAAGCACUUCAGAUAUCCGCAGAGUUCCCCAAACAAGUGUUUAGGAGUUGUACCGCGGGCGACUGAACGGGACUACUCACAUGUUCCUCUCCCCAAGGGAUGGUUCUUGAUCAUCCGCGGGCAGGAGCGACUUUGCGGCUCCUACAGCAGGAGACGUUUUCUUGUUUUGGGGGAAAUCGGAAUUAAAGGGAGAUGAGACCCGUACUUUGCUACUUCCUGCUCUGUACGUCGUACCUGCUGAAUGCUGUUGCUGAGGAAGUCCCGCAGGAGUUGAUAGAGAGACUGUCUCACAGCGAAAUCCACAGCAUCAGCGACCUCCAGCGGCUAUUGGACUCCGAGAUAGACGUCCCCGUAGGUGCGGGAAAUGAGGUCAUGGAGGAGACCAAGCCGAUGCAGAAGCAUCAUAAGAACUACUCCCAACAGCACGGCUACUCAGACCUGAAGAGCUCACAGAUACACAGCCGACGCAAGAGGAGCGUUGAGGAGGCGGUGCCUGCGGUGUGUAAGACGCGGACAGUGAUCUAUGAGAUCCCGCGCAGCCAGGUGGACCCCACAGCUGCCAACUUCCUGAUAUGGCCGCCGUGCGUGGAGGUCAAGAGGUGCACGGGAUGCUGCAAUACCAGCAACAUGCGCUGCCACCCCUCACGCAGGCACCACCGCACCGUUAAGUUUCUGCUCAGGCCCUCUCACCCUCUGCUUCAGACCGGAGAUAAGAGCAAACACACACCAUGAUGAUCGCCGUCCAGACACCAUUGUCCACUGUUUACCCACGGAAUACCUCUGCUACUUAACCUCCUUUUCACUCCCUCUAUCCCUGUUUUCUCUCUUCCUAUCCCUCAUUCCCCCCUUUUCCUGCCUUUCUAAAAGACACUGUUUCAAAGGAAGGAUGCUGAAUAGUGGAUGCUGUGUUCUCCCUACCCUCUUUCUUGCCACUCUGUGUCCAGUUCAGCCUACGUCUCUGUCUCACCCUGGGCUUAUGUUUCCGAGACGUUACGUCAUUGCAGGGCCCAAACAUUACAAGGUUAUGUAGUAUCAGAAUGGAAUGGUGUAUUAUUUGGGCUGUGUGACUAAUUCACUGGGUAGAGCUUGACUUGGCUGGAGGCCAGAAUGGGAUUGAGAAAGAACUCUCCUUCUCUCCCAUCUGUGUGUGUGUGUGUGUGUGUGUGUGUGUGUGUGUGUGUGUGUGUGUGUGUGUGUGUGUGUGUGUGUGUGUGUGUGUGUGUGUGUGUGUGUGUGUGUGUGUGUGUGUGUGUGUGUGUGUGUGUGUGUGUGUGUGUGUGUGUGAGCUGUCCUGACUGCAUAACAGCAUUGUUCAUAACACCAGAAAGCGUGAGGAGAUUGUCGGUCAAUAUCCUGUCCCGUGCCAUGACCAGGAAGAGCACAGAAGCCUGAUAUAUUGUUUCCAUGUGGCCCAGGCCCAGGGUGUGUCUGUGUACCUGCCCUGGCCUUCAGAUCAGAGAUCAGAGAGAGGCAUCACCUAACGCCAUUUUACACAUCCACCCAACAGCCCAACUACACCCACUUCACAGGCCCCUUGAAGUGGCUGGGUGGUGGGGAGUCAGUGUUGGGGUUGGUGGAGUUAUUGAAUGGAAGUUUAGGUGAAGGUCUGUGUAAGAUCUGGCUGUGUGGGAUAGUGUUGGGUUGGGUUAAGUGCAAGGGUUAGGCUUGGCUACAGUAAAUUAGUUGAGAUGAGGUAGGGGAGCAGGUCAGACACAGAGGCAGGGGGACCUCUCAAACUACUCUCCCCUGGCCUCCCGAGUGGCGCAGUGGUCUAAGGCACUGCAUCGCAGUACUAGCUGUGCCACUGGAGAUUCUGGUUAGUCCAGGCUCUGUUGCAGCUGGCCGCAGGAGUCGCAAACCCUCCCCUAACCCAGACGACACUGGGCCAAUUGUACGCCGCCCCAUGGGACUCCCGACCGGGUGGCCGACCCAUGGGGCGGCACACAAUUGGCCCAGCGUCGUCCGGGUUAGGAGAGGGUUUGCGACUCCUGUGGCGGGCCGGGCGCAGUGCACUCUAACACUGUUGCCAGGUGUACGGCGUUUCCUCCGUCACAUUGGUGCGGCUGGCUUCCGGGUUAAGCGGGCGUUGUGUCAAGAAGCAGUGAGGCUUGGUUGGGUCAUGUUUCGGGGGACGCACGGCUCUUGACCUUCGCCUCUCCCGAGUCCGUACGGGAGUUGCUGGGAUUUGUUAUUUUUUUUUGUAUUAAAUAAUAAUUGAAAAAAGAUUCAAAAUAACAUCUCUCCCCAGUCAGGGUGAACCUUCACUGGGCCUCAUGGUGCGUGUCACUCCCUCCUCCCUCCCUAUCGUUUGAGCCUCUGCUCAAUAUUGACACACCUGAUCACCAGGCCAUAGAACGCUGCACAUCAGCACAAUGGAAUGCUCCUGUCAUACAUCAAACAGAGGGAGAUGACGGUGGCUGCGCCAGAGGCGUUAGAGAAGGAGAAAUGGAGGAGGGAGCAGGGCUUUCUCUUUCUUUCUUUUCAUUCAUCCAUCUCUCUUGAUGUUAGCCAAUGGAGAAAGAGUGAAAGGUGAAUGAAGGGAACACAGAAAAAGCCUAAACGAGCGUAAAUGGUGUUAUUGUGGUAGUGUUGUUAACCUCUCUCCCUCCCUUCGUUCAGGUGGCCAAGGUGGAGUAUGUGCGGAGGAAACCCAAGCUGAAAGAGGUCUUGGUCAGGUUAGAAGACCACCUGGAGUGUGUGUGCACGUCACAACAUCACGUGACCGAGCACUCAGACGCAGACACAGUGGACAUAAGGUGAGACCCCAGCAGCAUUGGACUUCAGUGUGGAAGGGGCCAAAGAGAGGAUGCUGCCAUAUUUGGACUGCUGACCUACCCCCUUCCCUGACCCCACCCCACCUACCGCCUUUUAAAAACAAAGAUUACUGUAAAGAGAAAAAAAGAGAAAAAGUUAAUAAAAUGCCAAAGGUGCUUUUUUCUAUUACCGUAAAAAGUAAUGCAGAAGGUCUCUGUCAAGUGCAGCAGAACCAACCAAUCGAACAGUGAUGCGGAUGAGGAUGGUGAAGGCGAUAAAGACCUGGGCAGAAAAGAGAAGAGGAGGACAAGAUGGGUUGUCGUUUGUUUGGGUAAACAGGACAGUUUGACGAUCACAGAGAGAGAUCCAGGAUGGAUCAUUGGAUUAAGCCUUGAUGGGGGAUCUGUUGACUGGAUCCUAAAAGGACACAGAGAGGGACAAUCAGUGAACUCUUUGGGACGUGUGGAGGCUUGCAUGUUCCUAGCCGUUGGCCUAAGUGACACUUGCCUGGACAGUCAAUGACUGACAGAGAGAAAAAGAGAGGGAGAGAGGGAAAGAGAUGUUGAGAGAAGUUGUAGAGAGGUGUAGAAGGUACUGGUCGUGUUACUUGUUGUUCCGGAACUCUCUGUAAACUGUAGUGGAACUUGUGAACAUUCUGGAACUCAUAAAAUGGUUGCCCAUUUUGUUUCUUUUGGAUAAAGUGUUGGGAAAAGUGUUUGCAAUCAUCAGGACCUGUUGUUCCAAGCGGCUUCUCUGCUUCUCUCUCUCUUGGGUUUCCCUAUCUGCUCCUAUUGGGAUUGUGCCAGUCGCCAUAUACACUACAGAACGAUUCAGAAAGGAAGAUUCAUUCAUUGCUACUAAUAAACUAUUUAUACGUGUAAACGUUUUCAUUUCUCUCUCUCUCCCUCCAAGACAUUGUUAUGUUUUCUGUGACAUGUAAGAGUCAUGUUCUGUCUGAUCCUCUGGUAGUGAAUCUUCAUGUCCACAUGUUCAUGUAGUUGUUACGCAUGUUCAAUGUUGUCUUAUUAUGUGCCAGUAUAUUAUCUGAACAGUCUCAAGUCUAGUUGUAUGGGCUGGAAAUGUAAGGAAGCGUGGCGAGGAGGAGAUGGGGAGGACAGAGUCUGUACAAGUACAGGAAGAUGCUUUAUUUUUGUUAAGAAAAUAUAUUAUGCUUACUUAUAUUCAAGUAGGAAGUAUGUUUGUUAUUUCUUUGUUUGUUGUGGUUGAAGGCUUUUAUUUAAUCCAUGGAAACGAUGCAGGAAUGGGGGUGAGGAAAUGUAUAAGUCCCCAGCAAUGCACCCUGUUUGGUGGUGUAGGGCAGCCUUACAUCAGCAGUGCUGUACUGUAUUAUCUAGAGCGCUGGAUAGAGCUAACCUGGUCCCAGAUCAGUUUGUGUUGUCCUCCAAACACAUAUAGUCAUUGGCAAGACAGCACAAACCGAUCUGAGAUCAGGUUAGUGCAGAGCUGGCUGAGGAAGACUCAAUCUGGGGCAUCGUUGGACUGUGUCUCUUUAACCCAGUUAUCUAGCCAAAAGUUACACCCAGUAACCAGAGCGCCAUUAUACACAACAGAACACACACGUUCAGCAUGUGUGUGUGUGUGUGUGCACAUAAAUGUGUGUGUGAAACCACUUUUAACCCACAUCACACUCCUUUGAUAAGAUGGUACCCAGUCCGCCCCACCAGCACACAAGCUGUUCUUAACGAGUACAAAGUCCAUCUUGAAUGAGAGAGAGUUUGUGAACAAACCAACAUGGAUGGUUUCCUAGUUAAUCAAGCAGCAGUCUUCCAUUGACACGUUAACAACGAUGAAGACUGUUCCACUGUUGACACGUUAACAACGAUGAAGACUGUUCCACUGUUGACACGUUAACAACGAGGAAGACUGUUCCACUGUUGACACGUUAACAACGAGGAAGACUGUUCCACUGUUGACACGUUAACAACGAUGAAGACUGUUCCACUGUUGAUGAGUGAAAGAUCGAAAAAGAAGAUACCACUGUUUAUGGAGAGACUGACACCAAAUCUCUAACAACACCCUAUUUCCCGUAGAUUGCAGUGCACUACUUUAGACCAGAGCCACUGGCCAAAAUUAGUGCGCUACAUCGGGAAUAGGUUGUCGUUUGGCACACACUGAAUCAAUAGAAAGACCUGGGCACUUUUCCAAAAUGUCUCAGAGUAGGAGUGCUGUUCAUCUUAUUCAUUAUGAUCUAAACAGCUAAACUGAUCCUAGAUCAGCACUAAAUGUCUCAGAGUAGGAGUGCUGUUCAUCUUAUUCAUUAUGAUCUAAACAACUAAACUGAUCCUAGAUCAGCACUUUAUGAAGUCCUGGGUGAGAGACAUGUUGAGAGAAAAUAGAUGACUGUAUCUGCAGCUGCUUUGUGUUGUGGUAACAACAUCUUCAACUGCACUAUACAGACUUCCAAGGUGAUUCCAUUGGUGCUAUAUGUAUAAAGGAAAUCAGAAGAAGUUUCACCACCAUUUUGCAAUGCAUUCAUUUAUUCAUUCAUUGUCAAUAGACCAGGGACCAUUGCUUACAGUAACUAAAGAAACUGCAACAACACAGGCUAAUAGGAUUUUUUAUUUGGGCCUCUAUUGGAUAAAAACAGCAAUGAUUAUAAUUUAUAUAUUUAUGUUUUCAAUAAUAAAUACAUUCUGCUUAUCAAACUG
rnacentral:lncRNA from 1 species